UAAAUCGCGAGAAAUAGUCGGGAAGAAGCCGCUAGCAUUCUUUAUAAACGUAAGUGCGAGCUGAUGAACAAAAACAUCAUAUGAGGCGUAGGCUGGAGAUGAGCUAGCACAAGAUAGCGAAGUCAUGUGAUCUAACGGCCACCGUAAACAACUACAAUGACACCCACUUUA
rfam:Pseudoalteromonas sp. A601 contig6, whole genome shotgun sequence.